rnacentral:rRNA from 1 species
UACGUAGGGUGCAAGCGUUAAUCGGAAUUACUGGGCGUAAAGCGUGCGCAGGCGGGUUUGUAAGUCAGAUGUGAAAUCCCCGGGCUUAACCUGGGAACUGCGUUUGAAACUACAAGGCUAGAGUGUGGCAGAGGGGGGUGGAAUUCCACGUGUAGCAGUGAAAUGCGUAGAGAUGUGGAGGAACACCGAUGGCGAAGGCAGCCCCCUGGGUUAACACUGACGCUCAGGCACGAAAGCGUGGGGAGCAAACAGG